rnacentral:tRNA from 1 species
GCGGGGAUGCCGGAGCCAGGUCAAACGGGCAAGGUUGAGGGCCUUGUGGCUUAGUGCCUGCGCGCGUUCAAAUCGCGUUCCCCGCA